rnacentral:tRNA from 1 species
GGGUAUAGCUUAAGUGAUAGAGCAUAUGCUUAGCAUGUACUAGGUCCUGGGUUCAAGUCCCAGUACCUCCA